UUAAAACAUUUUCCCUCUUUCCCAGCCGUCGAUUCUCUUCUCUUCCUAUUGACACUGUAGCAAUUCCCAUCCUGUUGCGGCGAUUCAUUGGAUCUAAGCCUUGAAUCGCCUCAUGGUAAUGGCAAGAUACCAAGAGUUUCUUAUGAGUUGUUGAAAUGCUGCUGCGGCGGAUGUUGUUCUUGGAUCAGUCGGCGCUGUUCAAUUUCCAUUCGUUUCUGACGGUGGUGCUGCUGGUGAUCUCCACCUGCACCUACAUCAGAUGCAGUUCCCUGCCAUCCUCGAGCAGAGGACCGGGACUAGGACCUCUCAGCAUGUAGCUAUGCCAUCCACUAGAAGCAAGCGGGGGUUAUGAUGAAUUAGGGCAACUGUUAUCUGCUAAAAUGACAACAUCUACCAGGUCCUACUAGUUAUGAUGUAUUACAAACAAUUGGGUUUGUUUGAUGCUGAAUGUGUCUCUCUUUCUAUGACACAACUUUCUUUUUUCAAGAAUUUAUGUCAGUCCAGUGUCAUGCCUACUAGAGGAUGGACCCUUCUUUGCUCUUUAUAGAUGAACUACUGUUGAAUCUUAUUAGCUUCAACAACAA